CCUACGGGAGGCAGCAGUGAGGAAUAUUGGUCAAUGGACGAGAGUCUGAACCAGCCAAGUAGCGUGAAGGAUGACUGCCCUAUGGGUUGUAAACUUCUUUUAUAAAGGAAUAAAACGAGGCACGUGUGCCUUUUUGCAUGUACUUUAUGAAUAAGGAUCGGCUAACUCCGUGCCAGCAGCCGCGGUAAUACGGAGGAUCCGAGGGUUAUCCGGAUUUAUGGGGUUUAAAGGGAGCGUAGAUGGGUUGUUAAGUCAGUUGUGAAAGUUUGCGGCUCAACCGUAAAAUUGCAAUUGAUACUGGCAGUCUUGAGUACAGUUGAGGUAGGCGGAAUUCGUGGUGUAGCGGUGAAAUGCUUAGAUAUCACGAAGAACCCCGAUUGCGAAGGCAGCUUACUAAACUGUGACUGACAUUGAUGCUCGAAAGUGUGGGGAGCAAACAGGAUUAGAUACCCGUGUAGUC
rnacentral:rRNA from 1 species